CAAAAAGGGCAGAAAAUCAUUUUCAGAAUACACAUUUACAGUCAUAAACUAGCAGCUGUGUUAUAUUCAAUGCAGACACCAUUUUGGUACAAAGUCAUCAUUUUGGACUUCAAGAACAAAUCCACAUGCCCUGGACUCACUGCUGUCCAAUCACGAGGACCUCAUCAUGGCUGACAUUUGGCCAAGCCUACACCUCGCUUCUGCCAUAUGCUGACUGGUGAGAAGCUGACGGUUUUUCUCUACUGAGGGACUAGGUGUUGAGAUGUCCAAGGACAUACAGGGGAUUGCAGAGAAACGUCUUCAUUGGUGGGAGAGACCAGAAGUAUGGGCUGUUGGUAUAAGACUGCUGCUAAUAACUGACCAGCGGCAAUGUGGAGGUUUCUAUUGUGGGGGAAAUGGUUGAGGAAUCGAGGCAGGCAUAUCACUCUGGAGCCCGUGAUAACAAGAACCAGACAGUAGAGGGUCAUCAGAGGCCCUCCCAUUGGGUCAAGUAACAUUAUAGGAAGCAUGUUCUUGCAUUGAAAGCUACAUCUUUGACUGGUGUGACAAGACAACUAAGGAACUCAAAAUUUCUUUGUAUAUUUCCGGAGACACAGAUGAGCGGGUCUGUGAGCGGUGAAGGCAUUGUUAGUGACUGGUUUGUUUGGCCACUAUGAUGAAUUUCCCUGGCAACUUUCUCACCGUGGCUUUGUUUGCCAUGUUUCUCCAGUUUCAUCCAGAUGCGGGGUACAGAAUUCAUGUGCCAAUUUGUUCUUGAUGCCUGCACCCUUUGAGAAUAAACUAUCAGGCCCUGCAGCAGGAAGUUGCGGAGGAUUAAGAUGUUCAGGGAGAAUGCAUGGUGGUGGCAAUCAAAUGAACUUCGCUGAAGCAUGUAACUCGACCCUGACUUGAUUCUGCUGGCACAUGGAUGCACUGGCAAGCUUUCUGGAUUGUAGAGUUAACCCUUUGUCGCCUAGAGUGGCAGUCUUGCAGAUGCCAUUGCCUGUGCCAGUAAGCUUCGUGAGGAGCUAGCAACUCCUGUGAGCGAGUCAAAACCGUGACGGGGUCCUCAGAUUUUUGGAAGGGAAUGAGGUCAGGACCUGUGGAUAACCACCCUGCAUCCCCCCACCCCCACCCCUACCAAAAUUUCAGACUGUAUUUGUAAUUUUAUCCAUCUUAUGAUGAAGAGUCUUACGGCACACGGCUUGACUUUCCAACAGUGUAAUACUUUCUUCAAAAGUGGGAAGAAAACAGAAAAUUAAAUGGCAGUUAUGCAGCAGCGAUCACUCGUGGCAAACUGACAAACAGGGGCUCAGUCCUCAGCUUGACGUAGUUUCCCUGUUUGCCUCACUUGAGUUGGGUUGGGGUUUAUUCAGGCUUAACAGCCCCUGUAGAAAGCUUGUGAGAAUAAUUUGCAACCCUUUUUCACAACUGUCGCUGGGAAAGUGACCCUCUAUCCUCCCAGUUGCUUGAUGUGGUAGGACAGUUCAGCUACAUGACUCUUCAGCCUCACUAAGGAAAGCCUCUCGUUCAUCCCUCAUUGAAGCUGCUUGUUCAGAUUUUGAAGUUUGUGCUCUUAGAUCUUAUCAUUCGUAAAAAGAGUGAGCAAUGGUACGUGAAUAGGUGGCAACACCAUUUGUGUUCCAAAGUCCUAUGUUAAAGUACGUCAUGUUGAUUUUUCUACUUGGGUUACUUCCGAAGGCUCGUCGCAACCUGACUGCAUCAGUUCAUAGAGCAGGCUGCUCAAAUUCUUCAUUUACUGUUUCUCCAACUCCAAUACUUCACUCUCUGCCACACUACCUUCCAUGCUCUUCUAGGUCUACAUCUGUCUCAAUCCUCACUAUCUCUCAGACUUCCACUCUUCACUUUGCGUGUCUGUCUCCGUCACCAGUGCCUCAUUCUGUUUAUCUCCAGUGUCUUGCUCUGAUUAGUAAUCCAUCUGUACAAUACCUCAGUACAAUACCUUAUCUUCCCAUCUCCAGUUAACGGAUCCUUUUUCCAAGAAUAAUUUGCAUUCCUGCUUCCUCCCUCAGUUACUCUCCACCCUCUAUGUACCAAGUUUCCAUUCCACUUAAAUGUGGAUGAUCUCCAAGGGUGCUAUCUCUCCAUCUGCAAUCUGUCUGUCACUUCAUCCCUGAUGUCUUGCUCACUAUACAUCCCCAAUUCAUUAUUGUCAAUCACAGUAUCCUCAUUUCCUCAAGGUAUCUACUGCCUCAUCUCCAAUUCCACACACUGCCAAAAUAUCCAAUCUUUCAUUCUGUCUUUCCUUCCAACUCCAGUCUCAUUCUUUAUUACUUUCGAUCACCUGUCCCUCACUCUAUCUCUACAUCUCAUCCUCAUUUUCUGUAUCUCUCCAAUUCCUCAUUCACUGUGUCUCAUCAUGUUCAAUGUUUCUCUGUCUGUCUUCUGUCUCCAGUGCCUCAGUUUGUCAAUCUGUCCACCUUCAAUCUCGCUAUCUUUCCGUCUCACUCACUACCUCUAAUGCUUCCAUCUGUCCAUCCAGUACAAUUUUUCACUCUGUCCAUCUUUCUAUCUCUAAUUCCCAUCUGGCUUCAUUUUCUAUCUCCAAACUACAAUCUCUCAUUUAUUUCUCCAUUUACAGUCCUUCACUGUAUCCCUACAGCUUCAAUUCUUUGCUGUAUCCAUCACAGUAUGUCUAAUUCCUCACUCCGUCUACUUGUCCAUUUCUCUGCCUGUUUCUUAGCCUUUUAUGCCUCACUCACUAUCUCUGCACCUCCAAUCCAUCUCUCUAUCUAAUUCACAGUAACCAAUUCCCCGUUCUAUUCUAUCUCUCUAUCUUCAAUCUCUCGUAUUCUCUUCCUCCAUCACCAAUACCUCUCAUAAUCUAUUUCUUAAUCUAUAAUGCUAUCUCCAUCUCAAAUUCCCGAUUGUGCUUUUUCAUCCGUCUCUAAUACCUGACACUUUUCUGACCAUUUCCUGUCACAGAUUUGUCUAUCUCUCCAUUUUCAAUCUCUCAUUUAUGUCUUUCUCCAAUCUCAGUAUCCAUUUCUAAUCCCUCACUCUAUCUCUCCAUCUAUAACGCAUUAGUUUGUUUCUCUCUAUCUCAAAUUCCUGAUUCUGCCUUUCCGUCAAUCUCCACACUCUCCAUCAUUGCCAUCUCAAAUCUCACUCUCUGUCUUUCCAUCUACAAUCUCUUCUCAGUCUAUCUUUUCUCCAGUCACUCUAUCGCACUCUAUUCAAUCUUUCAUUUUGUUCAGCUCUCCAUUUCAAAUCAUUCGCUGUUUCCUCACACAAUCUAUCCAGGUGUCCAGUUCUUCACUGUGUCUGUCCAAUCCAUCAUUCUGUCUAUACAUUUCAAAUCUCUCAUUUUGUCUAUCCAUCUGUCUCUGAAUCCUCACUCUUUCACUCUGUCUUCAUCUUCAGCCAUUCGUACUCUCUACCUCUACACCUCCGAUUACUCACUCUGUCAUGACAUAUCCAAAAUGUCCACUCUGUCUAGUUUACCUGCAAAUCUACCAUUGUUACUCUGUGUCUCCAUGGGUACAUGAAUAGAGGGAUAUAGGCUAAAUGCUGGCAAAUGGGACUAGAUUAGGAUAUCUGAUCAGCAUGGAUGAGUUGGACCAAAGGGUCUGUUUCCAUGCCGUACAUCUCAAUGAUUCCAACUCAAAUUCCUCACUCACUCUAGUUAACCAUCUCCCACUUGCUGUAUCUAAUUCCUCACUGUUUCUUUCCCCAGUUCCAUCAUAAAAUUAUUUACUUGGUCUACCUCUUUAUCUUCAAUUCCCUGACUGUAUGUAUCACAUUACCAUUCCACAAGUCUAUCUAUGUAUCUACAUCCUAUCCCAUAUAUCCCAUCUAUAUCGCCUUCUCGAAUCUCUCUAUCUCCCUAUCUCCAUCCAAAUCCAGUUCGUUUCUCUGUCCUCAAAUUUUCUCUCUGUUUCUUCAUCUCUGAUCCUUGUUCUGUUCUACCCUACAACUCUAAUCCUUUACUGUUUCUACCUCUGUGCAUCCAAUUCCUCUGCGUAUCUCUCCAUUACUAAUUCUUCAUUCUUUGCAUCUCUCCAUUUUCAAUUCCUCACUCAGUUGGUUCCCCUAUCAUCAGUGCUUCCCUGCUGUUUGGCUCAACCUUUCAGAAUUCUUACGGUCAAUCCCUCAUUUCUCCAUUUCCAAUCUUUCACUUUCUCUAUGUGUCCAUCUCCAAAUCCUAGCUCUGUACAUCACAUCGUUGACCUGAAAAUCUCUGAAACUCCUUUUCUUCAGUCUUCAUAACACUCCAUCACCAAAUUCACACUCAUUCUAUUUCUUUAUCUCUACUUCCCCAAUCUUUCUAUCUCUCCAUCGCCAAGACUGUCAGGUGCUUUGUGUGCUUGUUACAAUGAAGACAGGAUGAUUGGAAGGAAUCCAAAAUGGCACAAUCACCAAUGGACCCGAAAGUGGGGAGCCAAUGGGAUAAGCUGGUUCCUGUACUCAAUAAACAUAGGCACCUGGCAAACAAAUGAA